rnacentral:rRNA from 1 species
GUCCAGACUCCUACGGGAGGCAGCAGUGGGGAAUAUUGCACAAUGGGGGAAACCCUGAUGCAGCGACGCCGCGUGAGUGAAGAAGAAAUUCGUUAUGUAAAGCUCUCUCAGCAGGGAAGAAAAUGACGGUACCUGAGUAAGAAGCCCUGGCUAACUACGUGCCAGCAGCCGCGGUAAUACGUAGGGGGCAAGCGUUAUCCGGAUUUACUGGGUGUAAAGGGAGCGUAGACGGCAGUGCAAGUCUGGAGUGAAAGGCGGGGGCUCAACCCCCGGACUGCUCUGGAAACUGUACGGCUGGAGUGCAGGAGAGGUAAGUGGAAUUCCUAGUGUAGCGGUGAAAUGCGUAGAUAUUAGGAGGAACACCAGUGGCGAAGGCGGCUUACUGGACCGUAACUGACGUUGAGGCUCGAAAGCGUGGGGAGCAAACAGGAUUAGAUACCCGGGUAC